GACGAACGCUGGCGGCGUGCUUAACACAUGCAAGUCGAACGGAAAGGCCCUGCUUUUGUGGGGUGCUCGAGUGGCGAACGGGUGAGUAACACGUGAGUAACCUGCCCCUGACUUUGGGAUAACUUCAGGAAACUGGGGCUAAUAUCGGAUAGGAGCUCCUGCUGCAUGGUGGGGGUUGGAAAGUUUCGGCGGUUGGGGAUGGACUCGCGGCUUAUCAGCUUGUUGGUGGGGUAGUGGCUUACCAAGGCUUUGACGGGUAGCCGGCCUGAGAGGGUGACCGGCCACAUUGGUACUGAGAUACGGCGCAGACUGCUACGGGAGGCAGCAGUGGGGAAUAUUGCACAAUGGGCGGAAGCCUGAUGCGGCAACGCCGCGUGCGGGAUGACGGCCUUCGGGUUGUAAACCGCUUUCGCCUGUGACGAAGCGUUAGUGACGGUAAUGAGUAAAGAAGCACCGGCUAACUACGUG
rnacentral:rRNA from 1 species